rnacentral:rRNA from 1 species
GUGGGGGAUAUUGCACAAUGGGGGAAACCCUGAUGCAGCGACGCCGCGUGUGGGAAGACGGUCCUCUGGAUUGUAAACCACUGUCCCCAGGGACGAAGAUGACGGUACCUGGGGAGGAAGCUCCGGCUAACUACGUGCCAGCAGCCGCGGUAAUACGUAGGGAGCGAGCGUUGUCCGGAAUUACUGGGUGUAAAGGGAGCGUAGGCGGGACUGCAAGUUGGGUGUCAAAUCUACCGGCUCAACCGGUAGCCGCACUCAAAACUGCAGUUCUUGAGUGAAGUAGAGGCAGGCGGAAUUCCUAGUGUAGCGGUGAAAUGCGUAGAUAUUAGGAGGAACACCAGUGGCGAAGGCGGAUUGCUGGACAGUAACUGACGCUGAGGCGCGAAAGCGUGGGGAGCAAACAGGAUUAGAAACCCCAGUAGUCC